AAAAUUAUAAAGUUUAUAUAGUUUAUAGAAUACUUCUAGAUAAUAAGUAUUAUUUGGAGACUCGAUUGAAAUAUUUAUAAAAUUUUAAAAGAGGUUUUUUUUUAAUUAUUUUUUUUAACAUCAAACUAGAAUCAGCUCAUGAGAGCCAGUUAUUUCAAAAGAAGUUUACAAUGUUUUUAAAAGGUUUUAAAAGUUAUUUAUACGGUAUUUAUAAAAUCUUAUAGAUAUAAGAUAUUUAUAAAACAUAUAUAAUUUUACACACAUAUAAAUGUAAUUUGAAAAUGGGGUAUUUUGAAAAUGAGGUAUUU
rnacentral:lncRNA from 1 species